AGCGGCGAACGGGUGAGUAACAUGUAAAGAACCUGCCUCAUAGACUGGGACAACUAUUGGAAACGAUAGCUAAUACCGGAUAACAGCAUUAACUGCAUGGUUGAUGUUUAAAAGUUGGUUUUGCUAACACUAUGAGAUGGCUUUGCGGUGCAUUAGCUAGUUGGUGGGGUAAAGGCCUACCAAGGCGACGAUGCAUAGCCGACCUGAGAGGGUGAUCGGCCACACUGGGACUGAGACACGGCCCAGACUCCUACGGGAGGCAGCAGUAGGGAAUCUUCCGCAAUGGGCGAAAGCCUGACGGAGCAACGCCGCGUGAGUGAAGAAGGAUUUCGGUUCGUAAAGCUCUGUUGUUAGGGAAGAAUGAUUGUGUAGUAACUAUACACAGUA
rnacentral:rRNA from 1 species